rnacentral:rRNA from 1 species
CCUACGGGAGGCAGCAGUGGGGAAUAUUGGGCAAUGGAGGAAACUCUGACCCAGCAACGCCGCGUGAAUGAUGGAGGUCUUCGGAUUGUAAAGUUCUUUUCUAAGGGAAGAAGAAAGUGACGGUACCUUAGGAAUAAGCCUCGGCUAACUACGUGCCAGCAGCCGCGGUAAUACGUAGGAGGCGAGCGUUAUCCGGAAUGACUGGGCGUAAAGGGGGCGUAGGUGGUUUGGCAAGUUAGUAGCGUAACUCCAAGGCUCAACCUUGGAACUACUACUAAAACUGUUGGACUUGAGUGCAGGAGGGGCAACCGGAAUUCCUAGUGUAGCGGUGGAAUGCGUAGAUAUUAGGAGGAACACCAGUGGCGAAGGCGGGUUGCUAGACUGUAACUGACACUGAGGCACGAAAGCGUGGGGAGCAAACAGGAUUAGAUACCCCAGUAGUC